GACGUAGGGCGCAAGCGUUGUCCGGAUUUAUUGGGCGUAAAGAGCUCGUAGGCGGCUUGUCGCGUCGACUGUGAAAACCCGUGGCUCAACCAUGUGGUCUGCAGUCGAUACGGGCAGGCUAGAUUUCGGUAGGGGAGACUGGAAUUCCUGGUGUAGCGGUGAAAUGCGCAGAUAUCAGGAGGAACACCGGUGGCGAAGGCGGGUCUCUGGGCCGAUAUUGACGCUGAGGAGCGAAAGCGUGGGGAGCGAACAGG
rnacentral:rRNA from 1 species